CAUGUACCUGCGUGUAUAGCUGCGUCUAUUUACUGUUGAAAAUAGUUAAGUACAGAAAUUAUAUUUCCAAUUAACUGCAAGGUAUUAUUGUUUACAUUUUUUCACUGUGGUCUAUAGGUAAGUUAUUAUGCACACAAUUUUAUAUUUUUAACGUAUAGUGAGAUUAAUAGUUAUAGUUAUAUUUUUAUAAUUUUUAAAAAAAUGUGUGUUUUUUCGGAAACACGUUUUUAGGUGCUGUAAAAUUAAUUUAACUUAUGUAGAUAAGAAAUUUAACACGAUAAUAUUGUGCUUGAGAGGAUGCUACUCAUGCAUUUGUUGUCUCCGCCUUACACACGUACGACAUAGCAAAUUUUCAUUCACUAGUUUCAAUAGUGUGCUGUUAGUUUUAAUAUUAGAGUGAUUUGACCUAUAAUCAAUUUUUUAGCUAAUAACAUUAUCUGUGCUUAAACAUUGGCUUUUAUUCGAUAUUUUAAUUUUCAAGCGAGAUAUGAGCAUUUUUAAUUUUUGAUAAUUUACAUACCCAUAUCUUGCUUGAAAAUUAAAAUUUCGAAAAAUAGGCAACGCUUAAGCACAGAUAAUGUUCUUACCUAAAAGUUUUAUAAUAGGUCAAUUCACUCUAGUAUCAAAACUAACAGCACACUAUUGAAACUAGUGGACAACAAUUUGCUAUGUCGUACGUGUAUAAGACGGAGACAACAAAUGUAUGGUUAGCGUCUUCCUAAGUAGAAGCAAAUUUUCAACGAAAAAACGGUGAAGAAAAUAAAAAGCAAAAAUUAAUUUUUUUUUAUUGGAUUUUUUUAUUGGUAUAUAUAAUUUGUAAUGGUAUUUACAAUAAGCAUAUGUGCGAAAAAUAUGUAUAUAUACAAUACGUGGAGACGUGAAGAGAGAAGUCACCCAGCAGAAACACUCAGAAUAUUGAUAUUAGAACGGACGUGGAUUGAAAUGAAUUGUAGCCAACCGUUUAUCAAGUCGUAAAAACAUAUUUGGAUUUUAGACGUCGGCGAAAGUGGUUUGACUUAAAUACCUAGUUGUGUGUACUGUUGAUUUAAUUUUUCUUAAAUCAACUGGUAGGUAUACAGUCUAUGAGAUCGUGGAGCUACCAUUUGGAGUUUGGACGUCAUAAUCUUUAGGAUUAUAGGAACCUAUUACAUAGAAAUUGACAAAUUAUUGCCGACGUUAUUAUGACUUAUUCGGUGUCGUCGAACAAGAAACAUGAUCUAUCGAAUAGUAAGUACCUAUUACAUUAUUAUGAUGGGUAUUAGUAAGUACUAA